rnacentral:rRNA from 1 species
CACGUAGGGCGCAAGCGUUGUCCGGAAUUAUUGGGCGUAAAGAGCUCGUAGGCGGUCUGUUGCGUCCGCUGUGAAAACUCGGGGCUUAACCCCGAGCCUGCAGUGGAUACGGGGCAGACUAGAGGUAGGUAGGGGAGAAUGGAAUUCCCGGUAUAGCGGUGAAAUGCGCAGAUAUCGGGAGGAACACCGGUGGCGAAGGCGGUUCUCUGGGCCUUACCUGACGCUGAGGAGCGAAAGCGUGGGGAGCGAACAGG